rnacentral:lncRNA from 1 species
UUGGGAAAUGAAGAAUCAUUGAGCUUGUGAUUAGUAUAGAUCUAAACUCUAGCACAAAAUUAAUUUGUGCGGGGGGUUUGGUUAAGAUUGCAGUAAUUAGAAAUUAACUUGAUACGUCACUUCUUUGAUUGCAAAACUUUAACAGCCUUUUAUUUUGUUAUCUGGAUCUAAAGUCAGUUCUAAUAAACAAAUCGUUAGCACCUUUUCUUAUUUUGUUUAAAAACAAUCACCUACUGUUCUGUUUUUCUUAAUUUUAUAAUCAAAAACCCUCCCCUGCUUUCGUUUUGCUUAAACAAACCCAGACCCCUUUUCUUACUUUUUCCGAGUUCUUGGCUGUAGUUGAGUUUUGUGGUCUUAGUCGCGAGUCAGGAGUUGGGGUUGCGUCCAUGAGCCGCGCCGAGUCACCACUGAUUCAUAUAACCGAGUCACCGAUUCUGCUUUGUGUGUCGAGUUGAGUACGAGUCCAGUUCUGAGUUUAUGUGCAUCGUUUUGAUUCCAUCGAGUCGCGUUGUUACUGAGUUUAAUCGAGUCGCUGGUUGUGUAUUUCUGGGUUUAGUUUUCGUUUUGUUUUUCUACGUUUUCAGUCGAGUGUUUUCUGUUUGCUGCUUGAGUUUGAGGCCGAGUUUCCGAGUCCAGAGUCGAGUCGAGUCUGCGUCUUAUUGGAAUGCCGAGCUU